GACAGAGGGUGCAAACGUUGUUCGGAAUUACUGGGCGUAAAGCGCGUGUAGGCGGCCCAGCAAGUCGGAUGUGAAAGCCCUGGGCUUAACCUAGGAAGUGCAUUCGAAACUGCUGGGCUUGAGUUCUGGAGAGGAAGGCGGAAUUCUCGGUGUAGAGGUGAAAUUCGUAGAUAUCGAGGGGAACACCGGUGGCGAAGGCGGCAUCCUGGACCGAGAUUGACGCUGAGGCGCGAAAGCUAGGGGAGCAAACGGG
rnacentral:rRNA from 1 species